rnacentral:rRNA from 1 species
UACGGGGGGGGCAAGCGUUGUUCGGAAUUACUGGGCGUAAAGGGCUCGUAGGCGGCCAACUAAGUCGGAUGUGAAAUCCCCAGGCUUAACCUGGGAACUGCAUCCGAAACUGGCAGGCUAGAGUAAUAAAGAGGGUCGCGGAAUUCCCGGUGUAGAGGUGAAAUUCGUAGAUAUCGGGAGGAACACCGGUGGCGAAGGCGGCGACCUGGGUAGAUACUGACGCUGAGGUGCGAAAGCGUGGGGAGCAAACAGG